UCGCCAGGUGUGUCUGCUGCCUCGCCAGGUGUGUCUGCUGCCUCGCCAAGUGUGUGUCUGCUGCCUCGCCAGGUGUAUCUGCUGCCUCGCCAGGUGUGUCUGCUGCCUCGCCAGGUGUGUCUGCUGCCUCGCCAGGUGUGUCUGCUACCUCGCCAAGUGUGUGUCUGCUGCCUCGCCAGGUGUAUUUCUGCUGCCUCACCAGGUGUGUCUCUGCUGCCUCGCCAGGUGUGUCUGCUGCCUCGCCAGGUGUGUCUGCUGCCUCGCCAGGUGUGUCUGCUGCCUCGCCAGGUGUGUCUGCUGCCUCGCCAGGUGUGUCUGCUGCCUCGCCACGUGUGUCUGCUGCCUCGCCAGGUGUGUCUGCUGCCUCGCCACGUGUGUGUCUGCUGCCUCGCCAGGUGUGUCUGCUGCCUCGCCAGGUGUUUCUGCUGCCUCGCCAGGUGUGUCUGCUGCCUCGCCACGUGUGUGUCUCCGCUGCCUCGCCACGUGUGUCUGCUGCCUCGCCACGUGUGUGUCUCCGCUGCCUCGCCAGACCGCUUCCAGCACCACCAUGAAGGUCGUCCCCGUCACCACCGCCAUCACCUUCCUGCUGGUAGUGAGCCUCGUCGCCUGCCCCAGCAGGAGUGCCAUAGCUGCCCCACUCCCGCAGCCCAGCGACCAGCCAGCAGCAGCAGCAGCAGCCUCUGCUUCUGCCCGCCUCAUCGUCGUUCCCUACCCUCUGCUGGAGUCGCUGACGGCACACCACGCCGCAGCUGCUGAAGCGACGACCGCAGCUGCUGAAGCGACGACCGCAGCUGCCGAAGCGACGACCGCAGCUGCCGCCAAAACCGCUGUAGCUAGGUAAAGACCGCAGCAGUAAAACAGCUCCACAGCAGGUUACCGGAAUGUGUCAUCCCUCCUGACUGUGUUUACGGCUAGGUAAUAAACAGUAGUUGAGGCAGGGAUGGCGCGCUCGCCUCUCCGCCUCUCAAUUACCACUGAAUCACCGGCUGAAUCACUGUUAAAUGCCCAUUGAUUCACUGUUACAUUACUGCUAAAUCACUGUUGGUUCCCUCUGUUUAAUCCCUGUUAAACCGCAUUAAUUUUCAUGCGUUGUCAACUCACCGUUAAUUCUGUGUUAUUUCACCGUUACCUGAGUCACUGUUUAUUCACUGUCGCCUGAGCAGCGCCAGAUAGUGACUCCAGUUACCAAGAAAGCUUACUUGAAUAAAUAUUGUAUAUAUA